rnacentral:rRNA from 1 species
UACGGAGGGGGCUAGCGUUGUUCGGAAUUACUGGGCGUAAAGCGCACGUAGGCGGAACAGAAAGCCAGAGGUGAAAUCCCAGGGCUCAACCUUGUAACUGCCUUUGAUACUGCUAAUCUUGAGUUCGAGAGAGGUGAGUGGAAUUCCGAGUGUAGAGGUGAAAUUCGUAGAUAUUCGGAGGAACACCAGUGGCGAUGGCGGCCAACGGGCAAGCUGCUGACGCUGAGGUGCGAAAGCGUGGGGAGCAAACAGG